UCCUUAUCUCUCAUAAUGUUUCUUCUGCGAUCAUCAUAAAAAGUCACCUUAAUAUGAUUUACGAUGAAAUGAUUAUGAUUUUGAAAAUAAAUUUUCUAUUGCGAAUAUAUUUAUUGCAAUAACACGGUUUGAUAAGGAUUAAAUUCAUAUGUUGAAGGUCAUUGCACUUAUGGAUUACGAUUUAAUUAUUAUGUAAAAUUUUCUUUAGUUUCGCCUUGCCGAGCAAAUUGGAACAAACUAUGAAAUUCACAAAGAAACAAUGUAAAAUUUAUUCAAAGUCAACUUGUCUCUAAAAAUUUCUCAUGUAAGUGUAGUGUAACCUACGGAUUAUUUUAUGCACCCUAUAAAUUACGUACCUUUAAGACUAUAAUAGCAAAAGUUUUGUACU
rnacentral:misc_RNA from 1 species